rnacentral:lncRNA from 1 species
UGUUGGGGGCAGCACUUUCUCACUCAUCCAGAAAGUCUGAGUCAGGAGCCUGCAGUGUCUGUGGCCUUGGGAUAGACAGCCAGGAUCACCUGCCAGGGAGACAGCAUAGAAGACUCCGUUGUAAACUGGUACAAGCAGAAGCCAAGCCAGGCCCCUGGGCUGGUCAUCUAACUUAACAGUGUCCAGUCUUCAGGGAUUCCUAAGAAAUUCUCUGGCUCCAGCUCAGGGAACAUGGCCACCCUGACCAUCACUGGGAUUCAGGUUGAAGACAAGGCUGACUAUUACUGUCAGUCAUGG